CCAGCAACAACACGCGGAUGCCGACGGACACUCUUCCCUUGACCUGUGUCGUUGUCAUCCGUUGCGUAUAAUAACAACAGUCUCGUUGUCAUCGACGUAUUCGUGUUGAGGUGCUACAUCGGUCGAUGACGCGCGUAUACGUUUAUACCGAUUUAUUCACGCGCGAAAAGAAAGCAAAAAACAACACAUGUGUGGAGAGCGCUCACACAUCGACAGCGCAGCGCGCCGCUUUGCGAGCAGAAAAUUUGAUAACGACUUUCUUUUAUCCAUCGGCCGCUGUUUUUUCCGCACUUGCACGUCGUCAUCUUGAUGGAAAAUUAUGUUUCAAAUAAUAUCCAGCGCUGCGUGCGUGUGUGUGUGUGUAUGUGUGCGCGUGUGUCUGAUUUUCUUUGUUCUUUGACGAAUUCAACGUUUUACGUACUUUUUUGGGCGACUCCCCGAAAACGCGUACGGAUUCAAAUGUGUACGAAUCGCAGCAUUGGGAAAAGAAAAGAAACCAGAAAAAUAUUGCGACCAACCUGGGCCGUCGUAUUCAGGGGAGGUCGAGAGGUCGCGUUUGUUCCUACAUAUUUAAAUAACUCCUCGUCGCGACGUCCAUUUCGUCUCCACGCGUUCCUGAAUUAUUUUCCUCGUUUUUUUGCUGCUCUUCUGUCGCCGACAUCGGAUCCUUCUGCGAGCGGUUACGUAAAAAUCCAAGUUGGGGUAUUAUCAAGCCGGUAUCUUCUGUAUCUCAAAAAGAAAAAUAUUUUCGAGAGAGAAAAAAAACAGCUGUGGUCUGCUAGUGAAACGAAACAGACAUUUUCACGUCUCGAUGGUUCAUCUCGCUAAUAUUUUCGCGAGGAAACUUGCGGUUAUCGUGUUUUCCUAUAAAUCGACGUUUAGCGCCUAUCCACCUCCUCCGUAGGCCACUUCGACCUGUCGAGUCUUCGGCGAUAAAUUUCGUCGAAGUGCUCGGCGUAUACACGCGCGAAUACGUACCAUUCGUUACACACUGUUUUACGCACUAUCGACGGAAUAUCCUGACAUUGAAUUAUUUUAAUUGAAAAAAUUUAUUAUUUUUCAAAAAUACUUAUUUCUCAUUUUUACCGCGUUUGGUAUUGCAAAUCGCGUCGAGGCGCUCUUUUAAGCUUGAAAAUUUGUGCAGUUAUAAUCGAUUUGCAAUACCUAUAUAUCGAACGCGGCUAUUAAACAGAAAGAAAGAGGGAGGAAAGCGAGAGAGGAAAGAGACACAACACAAUAUCAAGACUCUAAUUUAUAUUUAAUAUUUAAUAUAUUUAUUUUAUAUAUUUAUUUUAUAUUUAAUGUAGUUCUAUUUUUAUUCAGACACUUUGGACACAAAUAUCUUUACAUCAUCAGUUGGAUUUCUUUUGUACGUCUCGUUGCAUCUUAGUCUGUAAUAAUAAAUAUUCAUGAUUAAAAUUGUAUAUGUGUGUGUGUGUGCACAAUACGUGUGUAUAUCGCGACAACUUCAACAGAAGAGACACGAUUAACAAACGAGGCGUGCAUAAAUCUUUUUGACGAGGCACGUAUUCUGCCUUACGUGUCAGCGUUCACACAACGUAUCAGUUUUAUCGAAAUUUCAUUUUCACCCUUACACGUAAUCGCGGGCAUCGUCAUUCUUGUCAUCGAGAGCUCGCCCUGGAAACGCGAGAUGAAAUUUCUUGAGAAAUUCCCGAAAAAAUGUGCCUGCCAUCGCAAAUCGAAAAUGUUCUCUCUCGAACAUCUUAGGAGAACUUGGUCGUUUUAGUUUGUCUCAUUUCCACUGUUACAACAGUUAACACGAAAUUUAAACAAAAAUAUGAACAACCCGAUGGUGCGCUUUUUUGCAACAGCUAUAUCGCUUCCUGAGAAAGAAGAACGGCUCUUUGAUAUAUUCGACAGAGAGAAGAUUGAGUUAAGUGAGUUAAAGGCGUUAACAUAACGCGGGAAAUACUGUAGGAUAAUUAAUGAUGAUAAGGAAACGUCAAUUAGAUAUGUCGAAAUAUAUAUGUAUGUUCUUACUUGUCGGUUAGAGUGUGCCAGAGAUGGUCUAACUAAGAUGCAUGCGCUACAACAAAUUUGCCGACUGUUUUAAUCCACUUAAGAAGCGUCAGAGUUGAUAAAGGGAAACAGGAUAUAUAAUAAUCAAAGAUUGACUAUCUAGAGAAAAAUGCGCUAUUUUCUGGUUGGCCAAAACUCGUGUGAAGACCUCGGAAUCCAUUUUCUUGUUACAACCUUAACUGUUUAAUUGUUUUAAUCACACACUGUCGGAGCUUUCAAUUUUACGAAAGACAAAACUGUAAUUUUUUAAUAUUAAAUUAACACUCGAAAGUAGAAAAAAAUGAAAAAUAAAUAAAAAUGGUUUUUAUUCAAUCCUAUAUAAAUUUCGACAGAAUUCCACAAUAUAUAAAAGAAAUCAUAAAGAUGUGUUCCUUAAAUGCAGAAGAUACAAAAAGAAAAUGAAUGUAUUUCUCUCUUUCUCCCUCUCUCUCUCUUUUCUGAAGUUUCUUCAAGAAACAGUCCUGACAAAAUGUGUUAAAGAAGCUUUCAAAAGGAAACAUCUCGUGUUUUCGGGAGAUACUGUAUAGCGCGCGCAUGUCAGUAAUCUUCUUUGCAGACGAAGCAGCAAAUAGAGCAACAAGUGUGAUAUCGAAGUUGAAAGUCGGUCGGCGUUAGUGGAGUAAAUGUAAUAUUCCUCUUUACGAGAUCUGUGCGAGUUUUUGAUGUUUCUCGUAUAUUUGAGGCACCACUUUUUUCUGGUAAAAGAGAGAAAAAGAGAGAGAAAGAAAGAAAGAGAGAAAGAGAGAGAGAAAAAGAGAGAGAGAAAAAGAGAGAGAGCUCACGAUCACAAAUUCAGAGAGAAAUCUCCCUCUCGAAGAACAUUCUAAAAGUAUAACGAUUUGAAGUGAUAAAUCUAUCUACUCGAUUAAAUAAAUUUUUUAUAUCAUCAGCAGAAACCGAACUUUAAUAUUGCGAUGAUAGAAUUCAACUUGGUCUCAUCGAAUGAUUAAAUUUAUAAAUACGAACAAUAAAAAUAUGUAUUUCUUGCACACAUAUAAUUAAAAAUGUUUUUUUUUUUUUUACGCUGCGUGAAAAUUCUGAUAAGAAGUAUAAAACGUGUGUUGACUUCAAAAAAAUUACUUCUACGUUAUCUGGAUGCAAAAAGAUGCUUCAUAAUUAUACGCAAAAAUCUUUGUUUAUUCUAUAAAUUUUAACUUGACAAACCGUCUCACAUUUUGAGCCUUUAAUCCGGAUUUUGAUCUUGGAAACUACAGAUCUUUAUCUCUCGUCGUCUCGACGCGGAAUAAACCACGGGAAUUCGGACCAACCAGUGAGCGGCUCGAAACGAACGCCCAGCGGGGUUAACGGGAGCUAAUCACGAUUUAAUAUUAAUUAGUCAAUUAACGGGUUGCCACCCCCGCGAGGCGCGCGACGCCGCGUGGUUCUAUCAGGGGCGUAAGAACAGGCGCUUGUUCGAGCGUUAGUGAUGUAAAAAAGUCAAAACACAAUGAUUAUUUUACCAGAAGAGAAAUAAGUUAACAAGAAAGGCCGAUUAUAUGACAAUAUACUGAGUGAGUGCAAAACUUUUUUGAUGGGUUUCUCAAAAAUGUCGCGUGACUCCGAUCCACUUUUAUGGCAGCAAAUAUAAAGAUAUGUCAUACCGUUGAAAAGGUCAUACUUUUAGCUUUCAUUAUAUAUAUCUACACAACAAAUCGUUUUUAAUAAAAUUACUUGGUCCAUUU